CCUACGGGACGCAGCAGUGAGGAAUAUUGGUCAAUGGCCGAGAGGCUGAACCAGCCAAGUCGCGUGAGGGAAGACGGCCCUACGGGUUGUAAACCUCUUUUGUCGGGGAGCAAAGCGAGUCACGUGUGACUCAUUGAGAGUACCCGAAGAAAAAGCAUCGGCUAACUCCGUGCCAGCAGCCGCGGUAAUACGGAGGAUGCGAGCGUUAUCCGGAUUUAUUGGGUUUAAAGGGUGCGCAGGCGGAGGUGCAAGUCAGCGGUCAAAUUGCGGGGCUCAAACCCGUACGGCCGUUGAAACUGCAUCCC
rnacentral:rRNA from 1 species